CAAACGACUCUCGGCAACGGAUAUCUCGGCUCUCGCAUCGAUGAAGAACGUAGCGAAAUGCGAUACUUGGUGUGAAUUGCAGAAUCCCGUGAACCAUCGAGUCUUUGAACGCAAGUUGCGCCCGAAGCCGUUUGGCCGAGGGCACGUCUGCCUGGGCGUCACG
rnacentral:rRNA from 1 species